UACGUGAGGGGGCAAGCGUUGUCCGGAUUUAUUGGGCGUAAAGAGCUCGUAGGCGGUUUGGUAAGUCGGGUGUGAAAUCUCCACGCUCAACGUGGAGGGGCCACUCGAUACUGCCAUGACUCGAGUCCGGUAGGGGAGUGUGGAAUCCCGGUGUAGCGGUGGAAUGCGUAGAGAUCGGGAAGAACAUCAGUGGCGAAGGCGGCCUGCUGGGCUGUUGCUGACGCUGAGGCGCGACAGCGUGGGGA
rnacentral:rRNA from 1 species